rnacentral:rRNA from 1 species
GACGAACGCUGGCGGCGUGCCUAAUACAUGCAAGUAGAACGCACAGUUUAUACCGUAGCUUGCUACACCAUAAACUGUGAGUUGCGAACGGGUGAGUAACGCGUAGGUAACCUGCCUGGUAGCGGGGGGUAACUAUUGGAAACGAUAGCUAAUACCGCCUAAUAUUGAUUAUUGCAUGAUAAUUGAUUGAAAGAUGCUAUUGCAUCACUACCAGAUGGACCUUCGUUGUAUUAGCUAGUAGGUGAGGUAACGGCUCACCUAGGCGACGAUACAUAGCCGACCUGAGAGGGUGAUCGGCCACACUGGGACUGAGACACGGCCCAGACGCCUACGGGAGGCAGCAGUAGGGAAUCUUCGGCAAUGGACGAAAGUCUGACCGAGCAACGCCGCGUGAGUGAAGAAGGUUUUCGGAUCGUAAAGCUCUGUUGUAAGAGAAGAACGGGUGUGAGAGUGGAAAGUUCACACUGUGACGGUAUCUUACCAGAAAGGGACGGCUAACUACGUG